rnacentral:lncRNA from 1 species
AUAGAAUUGAGUAUUUAUAGAUUACAAGGUAUUGAAUGGAUAAGCAUACCAAACAUAACUAGAUAACAACAAAACUAACAUAUACAAAUCUAAGUACAAGAUUACACUAAUCUAUAUAAAUUUAAAUACAAGUUAAAAUAGAGUAUAGAGAGAUAAGAUUUCUUCUGUUAUGCCCCCUCAAGUUGGACUCGAGAAGAGAGUCCAAUAUUGUCUUUGAGAAAGAGAAAUCGAGCACGGGGAGGUGGCUUAGUAAGAGUAUCAGCAAGUUGAUCCGCAGAGGAAACAUGUGCAACCCGAAGAGAAUUGGCUUGAACUUGAUCACGAAUGAAAUGAAAAUCAAUGGCCACAUGUUUCAUUCGUGAAUGAAAAAUUGGAUUAGAGCAAAGUUUAGUGGCCCCAACAUUAUCAUAAUAAACAACAGGAUUUGUAGAGAUUGAGACACCAAGAUCAGCUAACAAAAAGCAUAUCCAAUUAAGUUCCGCUGUUGUUGUAGCUACUGAGCGAUACUAAGCUUCUGUUGAGGAUCAUGCUACAGUUCUCUGUUUCUUCAAACUCCAAGAGAUUGCAUUCUUGCCAAGAUAAACAAUAUAAGCACUGGUGGAUGAAAAAUCAUCUUGAUUACCAGCCUAAUUAGCAUCCGAGAAGGCAUGUAAUGAUAGGGGAGAAUCUUUGAAUAGUUGGAGACCAUCAUUAAUAGUGCCAAAGAGAUAACGUCGUAGUCUGUUA